AGCAGCCGCAGUAAUUCCAGCUCCAAUAGCGUAUAUUAAAGUUGUUGCAGUUAAAAAGCUCGUAGUUGAAUUUCGGGGUCAGCAGGUCGGUCGUGCCACUGGUAUGUACUGGCCUUGCUGAUUCCUCCCUCUUGAUGAGCCGUAAUGCCAUUAAUUUGGUGUUGCGGGGAAUCAGGACUGUUACUUUGAAAAAAUUAGAGUGUUUAAAGCAGGCAUGCGCUUGAAUACAUUAGCAUGGAAUAAUGAAAUAGGACGUUCGAUCCUAUUUUGUUGGUUUCUAGGAUUGACGUAAUGAUUAAUAGGGAUAGUUGGGGGCAUUAGUAUUCAAUUGUCAGAGGUGAAAUUCUUGGAUUUAUUGAAGACUAACUACUGCGAAAGCAUUUGCCAAGGAUGUUUUCAUUAAUCAAGAACGAAAGUUAGGGGAUCGAAGACGAUCAGAUACCGUCGUAGUCUUAACCAUAAACUAUGCCGACUAGGGAUCGGAUGAUGUUAAUUUUUUAAUGACU
rnacentral:rRNA from 1 species